UAUAUAGUACAAUAUACUGCAACAGUAGCCUUUUUCUUCGUUGGAAGAAGGAACUACAGAACCUCAAAGAGCUGACUGAUUAAACGUGUAAAUCUGAACCCAUCUACUGUGACUAUUGGCCUUAUCUAAGAAAAAAUAAGCGUCCUAGAAUAGUGGGGUCGAUUGCAGCAACUGUUAUAAGUUAUUUAAUGUAUACCUGUAAGCAACAAUAAAUCCUUGCUAACGAAAAAACAAUUCUGAGCUGAGUUCAGUUAAUAGUGUUGCUUUGUUAACAAUAUAUUUGCCAUAUUAUAGUAAAACUAUAAAAUAGACAUUAUAUAUUUUUUUUAAUAAUAUUUGUUUAAUGUACCGAUUUAACCGUUUU